AGAUGGCCCACACUCUGUGGAGUGUGCUUCUCUCUAAAUAAAUCCACUUCUUACCUAUUGCUUUGUCUCUUGCUGAAUUCUUUCUGCAAUGAGACAUCAAGAACCUGAGCUUUAUUAAGUCCUGAGACCAGGAGUAUGGAGUCUCAAACUGGCGAUAUUGAGAGACACAAACGUGCAAAAGGACCAGACAGAAUCCUUCUACGUGUUUACCUGUGAGCAUAGAGGGAGGAAAGAAUGAGGAAGAAAAUACAAUUGAGAAAACAAACAAGUCUAAUUUCUGGUAAGGUGAGAUGCCUUUAACACCCAUAAAGGUAUUCGGUAAUACUAUUGUCCCAUCCCCAGCAGGAAGAGCCUUUGCCCCAUAUAUGGUCUGUCAGACUAAGCUGCCUUACCUCUCAGGAAGGAGGGAAACUAACAUUUAUUUCAGCAUGUAGAUUUUUAGACCAUUUCCCUCGCACUAUUUUACUCAAUCCUAAAAACUGUCCUCUGAGGAAGAUGUUACUACCCUCACUUUACACACAGGGCACCGGAGCUCAGAAGGCCUUUGUGGUUUGCCCAGAGUCACUCAGCUGGGCAAGGAAAAGCCAUGACUUGAGCUUACAUGUUCUAACUCCAGUUUUGGAGUUCUGUUUUUUUUGUUGCUGUUUUUUUUUUUUUGCGGUACACGGGCCUCUCACCGCUGUGGCCUCUCCCAUUGCGGAGCACAGGCUCCGGACGCGCAGGCUCAACAGCCAUGGCCCACGGGCCCAGCCGCUCCACGGCAUGUGGGAUCUUCCCGGACCGGGGCACGAACCCGUGUCCCCCGCAUCGGCAGGUGGACUCCCAACCACUGCGCCACCAGGGAAGCCCUGGAGUUCUGUUUUAUAUUGCAGCUCCGAGUUGAAGAUAAAUCCUGGUGAUGCUCUGUUGCCUGUUUAGAUUUGAAAAAGGAUCCAUGUGUCUCAGGCAGGUGGAAUCCGGAAACCUGCAGAGUCACAGCUGGUGUCCCCAGCCCCACGUGUCUCCUUAUCUGUCAAGCAGACUUUGCCUACCUCUGCCUAGAAAACGUCUUAAACUUGAAGACUCACCUCAAAUGUCUCUUUGAAAGCUUCUAGAUCUACCACCCUCUGGCUCCAGGUAGAAUAACUAUUCUCAGACCCAUAGAGAUAUGUGCAUUACUAAUAGAGCACUUUGAAUAUGCCUGCCUCCCCCACCAGGAUGUGAUCUCGCCAAGGACAGGGAUUGGGUCCUGUUCACUGCGGCCCAGCUGGGCCCAGUUUAGGGAGGUCAGGCACAGGCUCUCGGGUCUGAGGCUCCCAAUACAGCCCACCAAGGCUCUGAACCCAGGCGGUGCAAUCAGCCACGCCUUGGUCUCUUCUUUCCCCUGGCCAGGUGUUUAAGUGACUCAUGCCUUUUCCUGGAGGCCGUUAACAUGUCCCUGCCCAGACGCUGGUGAUGAGCUCCACUCUGCCCCACAGCCUCACUGAUGUCACCCUGCCUGUUGCCAUGUGGUCUGUACCUGUCUCUCCCACAUCCCUGCUCUGCCCUGCUUUGUCUUGCCUCUGUCCUGGUGACGGCUCUUCUCCCCUCCUGGCCCUGCCACAUCACUCCAGGGAAAGGCAAACUGGAAUCCUGUCCCAACCACUGAUGCCUUAAACCCUGUGUAGGCAGAAUCAUGGCUCCCCAAAGACCUCAGGUCCUAAUUUCUAGAACCUAUGAGUGUUACCUUAUAAGAAAAAAGGGUCUUUUCAGAUGUGAUUUAAUGAGGGAUCUUGAGAUGGAGAGAUUAUCCUGCAUUAUCUAAGUGGACCCUAAUGGCACUGCAAGUGUCCCUAUAAGAGAGAAACAGAGGGAGAUUUCUCUCUCUCUCUCUCUCAUACACACACACACACACACACGCACAUGCGCGCACACACACACACACACACACACACACACACACACACACAGGAGA